AGGCGUGUAGCUCAACUGGCAGAGCAACGGUCUCCAAAACCGUAGGCUGGGGGUUCGAGUCCCUCCACGCCUG
rnacentral:tRNA from 1 species